rnacentral:rRNA from 1 species
AUGAACGCUAGCUACAGGCUUAACACAUGCAAGUCGAGGGGCAGCAUGAACUUAGCUUGCUAAGUUUGAUGGCGACCGGCGCACGGGUGAGUAACACGUAUCCAACCUGCCGAUGACUCGGGGAUAGCCUUUCGAAAGAAAGAUUAAUACCCGAUGGCAUAGUUCUUCCGCAUGGUAGAACUAUUAAAGAAUUUCGGUCAUCGAUGGGGAUGCGUUCCAUUAGGUUGUUGGCGGGGUAACGGCCCACCAAGCCUUCGAUGGAUAGGGGUUCUGAGAGGAAGGUCCCCCACAUUGGAACUGAGACACGGUCCAAACUCCUACGGGAGGCAGCAGUGAGGAAUAUUGGUCAAUGGACGAGAGUCUGAACCAGCCAAGUAGCGUGAAGGAUGACUGCCCUAUGGGUUGUAAACUUCUUUUAUACGGGAAUAAAGUGAGGCACGUGUGCCUUUUUGUAUGUACCGUAUGAAUAAGGAUCGGCUAACUCCGUGCCAGCAGCCGCGGUAAUACGGAGGAUCCGAGCGUUAUCCGGAUUUAUUGGGUUUAAAGGGAGCGUAGGCGGACGCUUAAGUCAGUUGUGAAAGUUUGCGGCUCAACCGUAAAAUUGCAGUUGAUACUGGGUGUCUUGAGUACAGUAGAGGCAGGCGGAAUUCGUGGUGUAGCGGUGAAAUGCUUAGAUAUCACGAAGAACUCCGAUUGCGAAGGCAGCUUGCUGGACUGUAACUGACGCUGAUGCUCGAAAGUGUGGGUAUCAAACAGGAUUAGAUACCCUGGUAGUCCACGCUGUAAACGAUGAUUACUAGGUGUGGGGGGUCUGACCCCCUCCGUGCCGGAGUUAACACAAUAAGUAAUCCACCUGGGGAGUACGGCCGCAAGGUUGAAACUCAAAGGAAUUGACGGGGGCCCGCACAAGCAGUGGAUUAUGUGGUUUAAUUCGAAGCAACGCGAAGAACCUUACCAGGCCUUGACAUCCUGCCGACCGUUCCUUAACCGGAACUUCUCUUCGGAGCGGCAGAGACAGGUGGUGCAUGGUUGUCGUCAGCUCGUGCCGUGAGGUGUCGGCUUAAGUGCCAUAACGAGCGCAACCCUUAUCGAUAGUUACCAUCAGGUUAUGCUGGGGACUCUGUCGAGACUGCCGUCGUAAGAUGUGAGGAAGGUGGGGAUGACGUCAAAUCAGCACGGCCCUUACGUCCGGGGCUACACACGUGUUACAAUGGGGGGUACAGAAGGCAGCUACACGGCGACGUGAUGCUAAUCCCUAAAGCCUCUCUCAGUUCGGAUUGGAGUCUGCAACCCGACUCCAUGAAGCUGGAUUCGCUAGUAAUCGCGCAUCAGCCACGGCGCGGUGAAUACGUUCCCGGGCCUUGUACACACCGCCCGUCAAGCCAUGAAAGCCGGGGGUACCUGAAGUGCGUAACCGCAAGGAGCGCCCUAGGGUAAAACUGGUGAUUGGGGCU